UGGUUGAAGCCUCUCACCAGCAGAGAAGC
rnacentral:piRNA from 1 species